CGCAGAUUCCAUAGGACCAUACCUUUUCGACCAUUCAGUUAACUAAACUAGAGUGGUAUAAUUGGCUCCACUUCUCUUACUCUUUGUUUUUCUUCACAUAUACAGCUAGACGAAGACACGUUCCCCAGCCAUCGGUGAAAAUCCUGGAAUUUGGAAAAAAAAAUGACUAAAGUGUCGUAACUAGUGAUAAGAUUUUUCCCCAUUCCAAAAAGUAUGUGGUGUGCCAAUUAUGAUAUGAACUGAGGGGAAUACUCCGUUGUAUUUAAAGGAAACAAGUUGAUCAGAAUCAUUGAAUCGAGAUCGUUAUAAAUAAGAAUGUGAAAGAUAUGAAAGAUAUUCUCAUUAAAUUUAACGAUGGUGCGACGUAUGAAACAGGCCUAAUCGUGACCAAGUCAUCAGUCGACGAAGUGGAAGAGGUUAUUUCGCUGGCCUCAGAGUGACAAAACGUAACAAAGCAACGGUUUUACUGGCACUAACCGUAUUCCAAACACCAACUCUAACCUUAAUCCUAACCGUAACCUAACCCUACUCGAUAGAUAUAGUAUGAAUCCUAACAGCUUCAUUUGUUAGUCAGUCAGCUCAAAGAUAAAUCAUCCAGAAAUGUAAUCAUAUUCAUAUCUAGCAUUGUAAACAUGAUAUUGAUAAAACGUAAAAUUUUGCAUUGUAAUAGGAACACCUAAUCCCACAUAAAAUUAUCAAGGACAUAACGUGGGAUAAUGGGAUGGUGACGUGUGGUAGAUUAUGAUUAGAUUAAUUAUGGACCACAAAAUCUCGCACAAAAUAGGAACAACAAUGCAACAUAUCAGUAUACGUGAACCAUUUACGCACGCAGGGGAAAUUUGUGGUUGAGAAGAUAUGUGUUUUUGUUCUGUUAGUAUAAAUAUAGGCUAAAAAGUGGUUAUGGUAACAUCGAGUUGUGUUGAAUAUAAUUAUGUUAUGUGUGUGUUAGUUGUUGAAUUGUGAAUUGAGA